rnacentral:rRNA from 1 species
GACGAACGCUGGCGGCGUGCUUAACACAUGCAAGUCGAGCGGUAAGGGCCCUUUCGGGGGUACACGAGCGGCGAACGGGUGAGUAACACGUGGGUGACCUGCCCUCAGCUCUGGGAUAAGCCCGGGAAACGUGGGUCUAAUACCGGAUAUGACUCCAUGACGCAUGUUGUGGGGUGGAAAGCCUUGUGCGGCUAAGGAUGGGCCCGCGGCCUAUCAGCUUGUUGGUGGGGUGANGGCCUACCAAGGCGACGACGGGUAGCCGGCCUGAGAGGGCGACCGGCCACACUGGGACUGAGACACGGCCCAGACUCCUACGGGAGGCAGCAGUGGGGAAUCUUGCGCAAUGGGCGAAAGCCCUGACGCAGCGACGCCGCGUGAGGGAUGACGGCC